CCGCAAACGAUUGGCUCAGAGGUCACCUCGCCUUCCUCACCAAGAACUCGGCCAGUUACAUGGACAUGGACUCCCUCGCCGCUCAAUUUUACAGCGGCAGCUCGCCGCAGCUGCCCGCCUCUAGCCUCGCUUGCUACCCUCCCUCCCUACUCCCCUUCGUAGCUCGUAGCUCCUCUCUACAAACGGCCGGCCUAGUACGACCUUCUUCAGCUAGCUCGGGUGCCAUGGCCGCUCUUUCGCUCAGGCUGGGGUUCGUGGCCCCGCCGUAUCCUAGGACCAGCAGCGGCAGGUUCGCCCCGUCCUGCCGCGCCGUCGCCAGCGGCGGCGGCGGAGGACCCCCGCGCCCCAUCACCGUCGCCGGCGACCCGCCCACGGUCGUGUCGGCGCCCGGCCGCCGCAUUGUCGCCAUUGGCGACGCCCACGGCGAUCUCUCCCAGACGCGAGCCGCGCUGGUGUUGGCCGGCGUCCUCAGCGCGGAAUCAGAUGGCCAUGUGUGGACAGGCGGGCGCACGGUACUUGUUCAAGUUGGGGACAUCCUUGAUCGUGGUGAAGAUGAAAUUGCCAUACUCUCCCUAUUGAGCUCACUGAGCGUGCAAGCCAAAUCUCAAGGUGGCGCUGUGUUUCAGGUUAAUGGGAACCAUGAAACCAUGAACGUGGAAGGUGAUUUCCGAUACGUCUAUCCCGGAGGCUUUGAUGAAUGCAUACGCUUCCUUGAGUACCUGGAUGAGUGUGAUGAGAACUGGGAUGACGCCUUUCUCAACUGGGUUAACGUCACUGAAAGGAGGAAGAAAGAAUACAGAGCUUCGCGGCGUUCUUGGAACUUUGUCAAGAACCAGAAAGGGUUUGCUGCAAGAUCAUCACUUUUCAAGCGAGGUGGCCCGCUAGCUUGUGAAUUGGCACGGCAUCCUGUUGUCCUUAAGAUCAAUGACUGGAUAUUUUGUCACGGUGGCCUUCUUCCUCAUCAUGUUGAAUACGGGAUUGAGCGUAUGAACAUAGAAGUGUCAACGUGGAUGAAAAGUUCAGGUGAAGACAGCGAUCAUGAGACCGACAUCCCCUUCAUAGCUACUAGAGGUUAUGACAGUGUGGUAUGGAGCAGAAUGUAUUCGCAAGACUCUGCCGAAAGGACACGCCGUGCUUUGCUGCUAUCUUCCAUCAUUGCUGAGGAAACACUGAAAUCUGUGGGAGCAAAGGGGAUGGUGGUUGGGCAUACUCCUCAGAUCCGUGGGGUGAAUUGAUAAAUUAAUCGAUGACUUUCAUAUGCUGUCAGCAAAUGCGACGGCAAAGUUUGGUGCAUUGAUGUGGGCAUGUCGUAUGGUGUUCUCUACUCAAGACCAGAGGUCCUAGAAAUAGUCAAUGAUAGACCAAGGGUUUUGAAGAAGCGGAGGGACUCAUAUGACGAGAUGGAAGUGCUGGACUAUUUAUAAACCUUGAGAAACAUGUGUAUAUAAUAGCAAACAUUCUUUUUCCGGAGAGCUACUGUACCAGACCAUUUGGGUGGAAGUACAUGAAUGAAAGUUACAGAGAUAUAUGUAAAUUCAACUGAAGGUUUUCUCAAUGUGGUUUUGCUGACGUAGAUGACACGGUGAGCGCCUCUCUCCUUCGCCAUCGCUGCUCCGCCUCUCUCCUUCGCCAUCCCUGCUCCGCCCGCUGACCAUCACCGCCUACAUGACCCCAUCCUCCACCGUCGCUUGCCCAUGGCCACCACGCACACAGCUACCCCUCCCCCGGCGCACCGCUCCUUCAUGUCCAUUUUGGAGGAGACCAAGGUCCCCGUGGCCACUCUGGUGCCAAACUUGGCUGGAGGGGGCUAGGGGAGGCGGCAGGUCCUGCAGCCACUCCGGGACCAGGCGCGUGAGGCUGGUGGGAGGCAGCUGCGGAAGCAAGGGCGGCGAUGCCCCCACUGCUACUCCAGUGGCCGGGCAUCGCAGCUGGCGGGAGGCAGCUAUAGAGGUGGAGGCAACGACGUCGAGGCCCCCCGGCCACUCUAGCGGCAGGGCUAGUAGCCCCUCCAGUGCCGGGCGCUGCGACUGGUGAUAGGCAGCUGGGGAGGCGGAGGCAAAGGCGGUUGCCCGAUGGCCACUCUAGUGGCGGGCGUAGUUGGCGGCUAGAGAUGUCUAGGAGAGCGGUGGAGGUUGGGGCGUCAACGGUGAGGCCCCAUAACCACUGUAGCGGCGGGCGUGGCAUGCCGGUGUCCAAUGGAGGGGCAGAGGCAGUGGAAUGGAGAGAGAAGAGAGGGAAGAGAGAAGAGGGAUAGAGAGAAGUUUGAGGUUCUGAUUAGGUGGGCUUCACUGUCACAUGUCAUCCAUGGCAGCGAAACAACUCACUAAAGUUGCCGGAUGGACAAAUAUGAAGAAUUUCAGAGAGUUGGAUGGUUAAAGAUUCCUGAUUUUACGGUUCAAUGGCCAAAACCAAACCGAGACGAUAGUUCGAUAGCCAAAAAUGGACUUUACUCUUUUUUAAUCACUUUUUGUCUUUUUCAAAUUCUAGCUGUUUGUAACUCUCUACGAGCUCUAGAACAGUUCUUCAUCUCUACUAUGUUUGAGGAUGUUUUAGA